rnacentral:pre_miRNA from 1 species
AGUAAGACCAAGCCUGGCGCACCAUUUCCUUGUCUGUAGCCAUGUCUAUGGGCUCUUGAGUUGGACACCUGGGCCUGCU